UGUUCAUUUUUCCUAUUAUCUUACGAUGGUGCUGCUGAAAUAUUUUCAGAAGCUUCUCAAUGUCGAACGAUCAUUGGAGAUAGUGAGGAGCUUCAUCAGAGUGAGAGAGGAGUCUAUCUCAUUUCUUGUGAGGGUUUCAUCUAUUUUUUCUAGAUUCUAGUCCUUCCUCAUUCACUCUCUUUCAACCGUAGGGCAGUCC
rnacentral:lncRNA from 1 species